UGCGUAGGCGGUCUUUCAAGCCAGAAGUGAAAGGCUACGGCUCAACCGUAGUAAGCUUUUGGAACUGUAAGACUUGAGUGCAGGAGAGGAGAGUGGAAUUCCUAGUGUAGCGGUGAAAUGCGUAGAUAUUAGGAGGAACACCAGUAGCGAAGGCGGUUCUCUGGACUGUAACUGACGCUGAGGCACGAAAGCGUGGGGAGCAAACA
rnacentral:rRNA from 1 species